AUAAACAGAUUUGUUCAAUGUUCCAUACUUCUUGUUUGUAACGUGUAAUUCUCGAGUUCAGAAGACAGACAUAGAGUUCCACAGACUUUACACACUUUCACAGAUGAGCUUUUGCAUGCAACGUUGUUUAUGUUAUUGAGAACACUAAGGGUAGAGUUAGUUAACUGUUAGUGGACAUUUCAGUUCUUGUCCUUCUCUGUUUCAGUAAGUCUUAGAGGAAAUUCAAUGACCAAUUGUGACCUCUGUACUCUUUUUCUCGAGUAAAUUGUAAUGGCUCUCUGUCUGAUAUUCCUUUAUUUUGUGGAACAACGUCCAUCAAUGGCUGUAGUACUGUUAUGCACAUGAAACCAAAAAGUAAUAAUGUAUAUCCUGGUAAAAAAUCCAAUAGCAAAAGGACAAAGAAGAUGAGGAUUUGAAUCCUUAUAUCAUAAGGACAACUAAUCUGGGUUCUUCCCGCAAAUUCAAUGAAUGAUUUAUACAGUUGAAGCAAUCACUGAUGCCACUUGGAUCAUCGUCCUUAAUCAUCUGUCAGUUGCUCGCUACCUAUGAUCUCUGACGUGCUAUAAGUAAUUCGUUCAGCCGAGCCAUUUGAUUCAGGAGCUCAACAAUUUUCUGCCAAACACCCAAAAGAGGAAGAAGAAUUCAAUAUAGAACUAGAACUCCGUCUCUUUGAAGCAUUUCCACAAACACCUAAAGAACAAAAGUGAAGAGCGAGAAUGGGAGUGAAACGCGAACCUCAUCUUUCUCUCUCAUGAUCUGUACCAAUUGUCCAAGACUGUCUCCUCUUUGCAGCCUCCUCCGUCUCCUCGCUCUCAACCACAGCGAGCACGUCACUGUCGCUGCCACUGCCGCAAUGGCGACCCCAGGAUUCCUUAAAGGCCAAAAUCUGGACUCGCCCUUCCGUCCAAAGUAGGUGGACACGAGACCCCCAAACUUAGAGCGGAUGAUGUGAAAAGCGAGUCUCCACCAUCUAGGCACCGCAGAAAGCGGCGACGGGGGAGGAGAUCGUCUCCCUCCGACGAAGGACACGAUGAUGCCGGAUCGGAGUCGAAUUGCGCGGACGAGGAUUGGUGUGAAUACGAGCAAGGAAAUGAGAGGGGAGAGAUGGGCGACGGUGGUGGAAGAGGCCAAUUUUCCGAUGUAGGGGCGAGAUUUUCAUGGCUGCUGGGCGGGAAAACGGAGAGGUUGGCGUCGUCGGCGGUGGGAGAAGAUUCGCGGAGGACAAUCAUCGGGAAAAAUUUGUGGGGAUCGGGAAUGGUUGAGGAAGAGGAGGGAGAGUGGGGAGCGGAAGCAGCAGUAGCAUCGGGGAAGACGUCAACUGGAUUGGUGGAAGGAAGGUUCGGCCGUUGUUAAAUGAUAUAACUAACUAACUAGCGAUUCAGCACUACUU
rnacentral:lncRNA from 1 species